CAUUUCCCCUGCUUACACUCACUCUGUUCUGCCACCCUGUGAGGAAGGUGCCUGCUUCUCCUUUGCCUUCCUCCAUGAUUGCAAGUUUCCUGAGUCCUCCCCAGCCAUGUGGAAUUAUGAAUUGCUAAACGAAUUGUGAUACAGCCACACAAUGGACUACUGCUCAGCAAUAAAAAGGAAUGAACUAUUGAUAUGCCCAACAACGUAGAUGAACCUCAAAACCGUUAUGGAUGGCAUCUUGCUCUGUUACCUAGGCUGGAGCACGGUGGCACAAUCUCGGUUCAUUGCAACCUCCACUUCCCGGGUUCAAGUGAUUCUCCUGCCUCAGCCUCCCGAG
rnacentral:lncRNA from 1 species